rnacentral:rRNA from 1 species
AUACGUAGUGUGAAUUGCAGAAUUCCGCGAAUCAUCGAGUCUUUGAACGCAAGUUGCGCCCGAGGCUUGUCCGAGGGCAUUUCCGCUAGAGCGUCACCGCG